CCUGGGAAUAAGACAACAUAUGACGCUAACCCUAGUUGUCUCCUUCGUUACUCUGAGUACGGGCUUCUGUGCGGUGCAGACGGGCUACCACACCUGAUAGUGAACGGAGACCAGAGGCAUUGGGGAGAGUUUAUAACACCAUGACUUUUGUUCCUGUGCAUCGCGGGAUGGAUCGGGUGGGUGGGGAGAAGCUAGAAGUGGGAACAGCGCAGAGGAUAAGGAUACGCCAGUAGCACGGGUAGAAGAUUCCGCGGCAGAGAUAGAGCUUACGGGCUCUUGACUAACAUUUUGGAGAAGAAACCAUUUCUGAUAGCAUGGCGACAAUGAUGACAGAGAUAUAAAGACUAAGUAUUGUGUCUGGGACAGUUUCAACACAAGAUGAAACGCAUCACUAUACUAGGAGAUCGUUGGCUACCCUGAUUUUCCAGUCACAGAAGGGAACUCCGAACCCUUGAGAUGGGAUUCCCGGUGUAUCUGAUUUUGUUCACGGUAAAAAAUGGGCUAGGAGAUGAGAUUCUUUUGAGAGGUCUCUGACUAUCCGUGUGAAGUCACCAUUCUCGCCUUCGGACCUCUGAUCAGUCUUGCAAUAGUAAGAAUCAUAAUCUUUAAUCUUAAAACUUAGUUUGAGUUUGUCACCAUGAUGGUUUCUUUCAGCUUAGCCCAUCAAGCAUGAAAGUUCAUUAGCCAGUAAGGUGAAGAUGAUUGUUAUACUUGGUGGAGUUUCUUUGCAUUAGGGAAUAUCAAUCCCCCAGCUGAAGCAAAUAUACAACACCCUCUGAACCUCUUAUUUAAUCUUCUAUCAAUGAAAGAAUGCAGGUUUCAUGUUUUGUGGGUUUUCCCCUUUCUAUGCAGAUGUAUAGUCACUUGGAAGCAGCUGAUGUUUGGGUUCAUGUCUGGAGCUAAUAUCACUGACAUCACUACCCAACUUAAACAAACAGAUGAUGACCUCUUAGCCCUGCGUGACUCCAAGGGAAACACGCAAGGAGUGUUACCUCCAUAACCCUGUGAGCUUUCUGGAAGCAGUACAGCCUGAUCUAUUCAAAUAUAAGAAAUGGAUUGUUUGGGUGGGACUCAGGGAAUAUGCGUCGGCCAUAGGCUCAUGGAUCAAGCCCUCAAGAGGUCUUAUUAUAUGGACUUUAAGCUUCAGAGAAAAAGAAAGAAUUGUAGAUGGAACGGAAGCAAUCUAUGGGUGAGAUUUUCACCAGUGUUUGUGGCGUGGACAAUAGAUGUAGACAAAUUUGGAAUGUAUCUGAUGAAGCUUAAUUUGAAUCUUAAUUCAAGAUCUGUAUUAGAACUGUAUAAAUGCAAAACUUAGCUAAAAAACAAUGAAAACUA